rnacentral:lncRNA from 1 species
GGCCUUGGCUCUGCCCUCCAUCCUGGGCCCUGGCGGUGGCACCCACCAGCAGUUUAGCCUCCAGGGAGAGCCCUGUGGGUGCCAGCUCCCCUCCCUCACACCUCUGGCCGUGGGGAGUCAGAACAGUGCCCUCAGCUCGAGCGAGAGGACCUGUGUCUCCCGCUCCUCUCACCUUGGCCUCGGUUUGCAGCUUGUCUGGCCCUUGGGUUCCAAACUUGCUGUUUCUCAUGUGUUUGUGAUUUGUGAAUCCCCCUCAGGCUGUGCUCUUCAUGAGGUUAUAACAAGUCUCAUAAGUGGUGACAUAAAACAUUAAAACAUCUUUUAACAACUGCCUCCCAUUGCUCCAAAGUCCUCAACCCUAGAUGGGGCUGGGCUUGGGGUUUGGUUCCCUUGAUUCUGUGUAACGGUCUCUGGACACACUGCCCUGAUGGGUCCAGGCUCCCGGGCAGGUUGGCUAUUUGAGACCAGCCUGGACAACACCGUGAGACCAUGUCUCUACAAAAAAAAAAAAAAAAAAAAAUUAUAAAUAAGCUGGGCACAUUGGUGGACACACAUAGUACCAGCUACAUGAGAGGCUGAGGCAGGAGAGUUACUUGAGCCCAGGAGUUUGAGGCUGCAGAGAGCUAGGAUUGUGCCACUGUACUCCAGCUUGGGUGACACAGUGAGACCCUGUCUUGGAAUGUGUUCUAAGGGUGUUCAUUAGCUAAUGGAGAAGGGCUUAGAAGAGUGAAGGAGAAGAACCUAGAGCUGUCCCUGAU